ensembl:lncRNA
ACUCUACUUCUCUGUAGUGACCAGCAGGGGGCGACUCCUCUGCUCCCAUAGACGUCUAUGAGGAAAUGACUCUACUUCUCUGUAGUGACCAGCAGGGGGCGACUCCUCUGCUCCCAUAGACGUCUAUGAGGAAAUGACUCUACUUCUCUCUGGAUUUAUUCCCUCAGUAAACAUUGUAAACAUGAGUUUAGUCUCUAGUUUCAAGUCUUCUUCAACACAACAUUGUGCUCAUUUAGUGCAUUAUGGUCUAUUUAGAGUCAAUCGGACGUUUCUACGUCGCCAUGACUACGUCCACUUCUUACAUUCAGCUAUUCAUCAUGUCUCUUGAAGGAUCUACUCUGGUUCCUGCAGGUUUCCCUGUAGAGGUUUGCUUCCUGCUGUGCAGCGUGAAGGUGUCUCCGCUCAGUGGGGGUUCGGCCUGUGAAGGGAUGUUAAACAUCAGCAGUUAUUAGACAUGAGGAAGAGAAAAGAGACAGAGGUAAUAUCCCCUCUUUUCUGACAGGAGUCUGGUGAGUUUGAACCUGUCUAUUUUCUAGUUGUGUUUCUAUACAUUUUAAUAUGUACAUAUAAUAUAACAUAAUAUAUUACAAAUAAUUAUUAAUGAAUUCAUUGUUAAUUAUUAUUAUAAUUAUUACUUGUUUGAUUUACUGCGUCUCGUCUCUAAUUGGCUGACGGACCUAUCAGUCAAUCAGGCCUGUAAAUGAAGCCUAAUUGGGAAGAAUGAAUUGACUCAGUGGGCAGCGAUUAGCACAGCGACAAAUCAAAAGGAAGCAGACAAACUCUUAAUGAUGUAAGAUGUUAUAACUGUAUGAGAAACGCUCUGCCUGCUUCCUACUUUCUAAAAGGGCUGAAAAAACAAAACAACGUUUACGUAUUUUCAAAUCUGUAAACGCAACAUUUAUUCACUCAUCAAUAUUUCAUUAUUUAAUCAUUUUACUCGUGGUGGCCAUUUGUCCUACAAAUCUUUAAAUCAGGGCGUAUCGUCCAAGCAAUCGCUUCCUUUUGUCCAAAGAAGACAACAAACACACACAAGCAGUGUUCUGUCACAGCUUAUUAAACACUAGUGGUCCAAUUAACCCGACAAUUAAGAACAAUAACUGGCCAACAGCUCCCACAUUACUCAUUAAAACUACAGCGGUUUUAUUCACAUUUAAUUAACGAGCUUCAACAGAAUAAACACAACAAAACCCAUUUAUACGUAUAAAAGUACUGAUGAACAAGUGUGUGAAUGCACAUUAUAUGUGUAUAUGUAUGUACACACAUAUACAUAGUAUAGGAAGAAGAGGAAGAGGAAGAAGAGGAAGAAGAAGAAGAGGAGGAACAAGAGGAAGAAGAGGAAGAAGAAGAAGAGGAGGAACAAGAAGAAGAGGAGGAAGAAGAAGAAGAGGAGGAAGAAGAGGCUCUGAGUGACAGAUCUGGGUCACAGACGCAUGAGGAACAAUCAGAGCUGAGAGGUUGUGUUGUUGUGAAAGUCACAAGUACUAUACGUAAAUAUCGAAGUACUACUCCCUCACCAAGCAGUACUACUAAUUUUUAUUCUCACAUGCACAGAAAUAUGUAUUUGCAGUUGUGAGGUACUUGUUGUACUUGUACUGAGCCUGACGCGUGUUUUAUGUGUUUGGAAAGCAGCUAGCGUGGCUAUGCUAAGCUAGCUGCUCGUGUGGUGUUUUAUGUGUUUGGAAAGCAGCUAGCGUGGCUAUGCUAAGCUAGCUGCUUGUAUGGUGUUUUAUUAAAACGGUCCAUCGUCUUUAGAAUGAAGCCCCGCUGCUCCUGAAAGACGCACUCUAGCUUUGUGUUAGCACGAGGCUAAGCCUCUGUUAGCCUUAGAGAAGCUAACUUAGCAGGUCUGUGUCUUGACUGACCUCAGGUCUGUUUCACAGACUGUUAUAUUCAAGUUGUUCUGCUAUAACAAACCACCAAUAUCUUUGGUUUUAUAUUAAAUUGAAUUAGAUGUUGAACUGUUACUGCUGUUAAAAAGCACUUUAUUUUAGUGUUUGCAUAAAUAAAAGUGUGCAAUACACUGCUUUUGAAUUCAUUAUUAAAUUAAAAAUUGCUCUCUUAUUUCAUUUGGCAGUAGUUUAUUCUUAGACACUUGUUAUUUAAAUAUACAUUUAAUGAGAAUAACGGCUUUAAUUGUUAAAUAACUUUACCUAAAUAUAACCCUGAUAAUUACAGGUUGUUUGUUGAUAAUAACUAAGUAAUAUAGAGAAGUCAGAGUUUCACCCCUGAACGUGAAAUGAAGAGGAGCAGCUGAUGGGGGAGAGAUGGAGGCAGGGGAGAGAUGGAGGGGAGAGAUGGAGGCAGGGGGGAGAGAUGGAGGGGGAGAGAUGGAGGCAGGGGGAGAGAUGGAGACACAGAGGGAGAAAGGGAGGAACUACUUUCUGCCUCCGCUGCCAGCUGACUGCAAACUACAAGUUCCCAGCGAGUUGUGGGUGUCCGGGCGCUGCCGUCAGCAAAGUGUCGGUUGAAGUAAACAAAAUGGAGGACUAGCUUAAUGCUAAAGUGGGAGACGUGAAUAAAGAGCUCCAUGGCGACGUUCAAAGAACCGUAAUGCGCCCCCACCCCUCCGCCUCUGUCCAUGGUGCUACCGUUACUACCCUCUGAUCCGCCCGGCACAAUGUCGACUUGUGUCUUCGCUCACAACAAAGAACACGCACACACAUUGCCGCCAUUUUGUUCACGUUGUAGUAAUUUGUGCGGUAAAAGUGAGGAGAAGUUGUUCGAGUUGACGACACAUUCAAUCACCAGCUGCCAUCUCUGCUCGCUCAUCAACUUUCCGAUCACAUCCUCCUCCCCCUCCUCCCGACGCCGGGCUCCCGUUGGUUCCCCGCGCUGCCCCUCAAUCAUCGCAGCUCUUGAUUGGCUCGGCUGGGACCAAUAGCGGCACGCCUGUGGGUAAAGGGGCGGGAGGAGGAGGCGGGGGUCAGAGUGACAGACAGGGCGAAAGAGGCUGGAUAUCUGGGAAGAAAACGGCCACAUUUGGCCUCUUUGUGUUCAGAGACGUUGAACUGAAGCUUCAUUUGUUUGGACAUAUUUAAUCUUCCUCACUUUGUCCACGUCUGUCUCAAUUAGUUGGGAUGUGGAAGCUGCUGCCAUGUUUGUUCUUCUUGUUGAUGAUGUGUUUCAAACCAUCUUUAGGUUAUAUAUAUAUAUAUAUAUAUAUAUAUAUAUAUAUAUAUAUAGUUGCGUGUAAAUGUAUGUUUGUUAUGUUGUGUGAUGUCUUGACGAUAAUAACAAUAAUAAUAAACUUAAUUUAUACAGCACAUUUCAAAAUAAACGCACAAUGUGCAAUCUGGUUAAAACAGGAAAAGAAAUUCAGAAAGUCGAUUAAAUAAACACUAUACGAGUUAAGAUGGAAAUAAUAUGUAAAGAAAAUGAAUGUCUUGAUCGUCGUAUCUUAUUGUGUUAUGGAUCACUAUAUUUUGAACAUGCAGCAUGAAUACACGCAUUAUUUAUUUACAUUUAUAAAAUGCUCCUUGAAGUAGUUGUAGCUUCUCCCUACUGCGCAUGCCCUCGCUGCUCCAUCCGGGAACUCUCAGAAUUACCAUUGACAGCCGAAGCGCAACUUUUCCCCAGGCAAAGUGAAAUCAAGCCGCGGACUCGGACAGAAUAUAGUCCCCGUGUUUCAACUUAAAAUAACCGACGGGAAAGCAGCCCCGCUCCCCCGUCGGACCACUCGACGUUUGGCCGCGAAUCUGGAGAAGAGCCGCCGGGGCCUGAGCUCUUUCCGCCGGGUUUGGAGCACUUUUCGCAGACGGGCGGAAAGUGGGGGUGAUGAGUCCCGAGCCUGCGAAAAAAAAAAGCGAGAACUUGCUUUUUUUGCCGUCAGCUCGAGUAGUUCGUUCUUCCAAUUGUUAUCGUCGCUUUGGAAAUAAGAAAAAAUAUAUAUUCUGAUUAAAAAAGGAAAAAAAACUUCGCGUCGGUGGC